rnacentral:rRNA from 1 species
UACGAAGGGGGCUAGCGUUGUUCGGAAUCACUGGGCGUAAAGCGCACGUAGGCGGAUCUUUAAGUCAGAGGUGAAAUCCCAAGGCUCAACCUUGGAACUGCCUUUGAUACUGGGGAUCUUGAGUCCGGGAGAGGUGAGUGGAACUGCGAGUGUAGAGGUGAAAUUCGUAGAUAUUCGCAAGAACACCAGUGGCGAAGACGGCUCACUGGCCCGGUACUGACGCUGAGGUGCGAAAGCGUGGGGAGCAAACAGG